CUCCCGGCCGUCGGCGUUACGUCACCGGCGCACCUGAGUCCCACGGCCAGGAGGCCUGCGCACAGCGCCUCGGGUGCAGCGCACUCGGCCGCAGCCCGGCCCCGGCCAGGGCGCCCGCGGCGGCCCGCUCUCCCCGCCAGGCGACCCGCGGGCGCGGGAGCGGAAGACACACCUGUUGCAGAGCGACGGCUGGGGGCGGCCCGACUUCGCCGCAGACCAGAACAAAAGAACAAAGCAUGCGAGGAGCGGGGCGGACCCGCCCGCGCAAACCCGGCAAGGCGCGCCCCCUUCGCCGACUCCCCGGCUUCCUCCAGCGGAGCCUCGUCACGCCGAGCCAAGGGGUGACGUCACGCGCCCGCGGGGCUGGCGGUUACCAUGGUGACGCCCGGGCAACCGCCCUUCUCUCCGUAAGCCUCACACCACGGCCCUGGGUCCGGAAGCGCCAGUCACACGAUCUCACGAAGGGCACCCCCCGUUGCUGGACUUCCCAGCGCCAACCCUUUUACACGCCUCCAGGCGGUUUCAACGGUCACUUCCGGCCGUGCCCAGGGAGGACGGACCACGGAUCCCGGCAUGCGCCGCGACGGCGCUCCUCAGACGCUUCCCAGUGACGUCAUAGUGCGCGUGCGCACUGCUGGACCGCGAGGCCGGCGACUUCCGGCCUGCGUCGGCGGUGGUUGCGCGCGCCUGCGGCUGGAGCCGGAUCUGCGGCGUGCACGCUCCCUGGCUUGUAAUUUCAAAACUGAUAGGUCAGCAGGGUAAAACUGAGCAGUGAGCCUUGAAAGUCUGAUGCAGUCCAGCUGUGAAUCAAAAGUCAAGAGGUGGACCUGGACAGGACUUUGGAGACUUCCCUGAGACUCCCAAUCAGUACAUGGCCCCAGGAAUCAGACAAAAAGCAAUUGCCGUCGUCCAUGCUGCCGGAGGGCCCAGGAUGACCGUGACGGGCAGCUUCAGGCAGCAGUUCAGUCUGCAAACCUCGCUCCUGACCACCCGGGCGGCUGUAGGCUGCGAGGGGUCCGGGUGGCCUCUGGCUCCUGGCGUCCUUUACCUGCCUCCACCUGGGCCAGCGGCCAGCACUCGCGAGGGGGCCGGAGGUCCGGCCGCUCCGCAGCGCACGCUCGGUGCUGAACUGAGUCCUGCCGGGUCCGCGGGCAGCGUGUGGCGAGGCCCCCGCGGUCGCCAAGGCUCGGGACGCCUCUUUGUCCACCCUGCACCCGCCAAGGGAUCCUCUCUCGGCUGUUGGAGAAGCAGCAGAGAGCGUGUAGUCGUGGCCGAGUGGUUAAGGCGAUGGACUAGAAAUCCAUUGGGGUCUCCCCGCGCAGGUUCGAAUCCUGCCGACUACGGCACGUUUUACUCCGAAGGCGUGACCAGGAGGCCUGGGCAGCCCCGGCGUGGGCUUUCAAACCACACUUCCCACCACCGGUGUGGCGAGGGCGCCGGCGCAGCCUCCGGCCUCCUCUAUUUAAGCCCUGGUUUCAACUCCCCAACCACUCCGCUUUUAGGAUCCUGACACACAACAUCCUGGCUGUCUGCUGGAGCUCCUUCAGACCAGCAGAGCACCCGCCCAGGAGCAGCAGAACGGGUGCACGAUGCGGUUGCGCACAGGCCAACUCCACUCCAUGCCUGAGCAGGACCACUCCAGGACCUGCCCCGACUUGCCUUCCUGCAGAUGCACAGGUGUGUGCGUCCGCAACAGGAAACGCUGCACAAACCAAAGCCAAGGCACUCUGCAAGACUACCUGCUCGUGUUCCUAAAAAUAGCAGCAUUCCAAAACACAAAAUCCGUUGUCAACACUAUGAAGAUUGACAGCUGGAGGCGACCACAUGACCUGGGAUUUUGAUCUUGCUUGGGACGAUUGAUGAAAUCUGAAUAAGGUUUAUAGAUUUAGUAAUAUUAUUUUAUCAGUUUUAAUUCCUAAUUAACUUUUCUAUGGUCGCAUAACAGAAUGACUAAGAAAAUAGUUAUAUUGUAAAAGUACCCACAUAUUUAAAGGUAGAGGGGAUAUUGUAUCUUCACACACAUGCUCAAAUAGUUCAGAAUAUGUACUAUUGUCUUCAUCUCUUUUUAUUUGUUAUGACCUUAUCUUUGAUAAUGAUCACCAAUAACUUUCUCCUCUGUAAAUUAAGGAAAGUUUUUGCUCUUAUGAAUCAAGUUUCACCCAAGAGGAAGAACUGUAAGAACAAGAGCAGAUUUUUAACUUAAUGAAGCAAAAUUCCAUAAAGCAUUUGUUUAGCUUUAAUAUUUCCUUCCCCAGUAGGAAAUAUGCUUCACUUUGUUACUUCAUUCUUUCAUUUCCUUUCCCUUCUCUCCUAUCUGCUUGUCACUUGCUCCCACUUGUACAUUUUUUUCUCUCAUCUGUCUAGACUUUGUUUGACUCCUUUGUAUUUUGCUGCUUCCUGCCUUUUACACAAUACAACCUCCCUUCUCUUCUCUCCAUGUCUCCUGAGAUGGUGUGACUUCUUCCUGGUCUGCACCCCUCAGGCCUUUCUGUUGCUGCCUCUUGUGUUUGGCCCUGUCCUCUCUAGCUCCUGCCUGUGUCACCUCCUGUCCACUUGCACUCUCCACACUGUACUCUGGUCCCAUCUGUGAUGGUCCAUCCUUCUCCAGCACCUCGGUCUUUGAUUUACUUCUGCCUGAAGCUUACUGGUCUCUCUUCUGUGUCCGCUGGCUCUGUUCCUCCUCAGUACCACAUUGGUUUUCUUCCUGUGCUUUUUAGUCAUCGUGUAUGUUCUCUUUUUCUGUUUUCCUUGUCCCUGGGUGGUAGUGUUAGUAGGUGGAUUUCUUGUCAGUCUAUAGAUAGAACACAAAUCCUUGCUGAGUAUUUCCCGAGU